AGCAAGUGUGGUACACAGGUAUUCCUCACGCCACAUGAGCUGGCGUCUUGUAGUGCGACUCAGUGAUGGUGUUCUGUGUAGCGAGUACACUUGUUAACCCGCUUAAGUAAAUCUUUGCGUAUGUUAAGCGAAAAAUAAACCUUGGAGAAACCUUUUGACUGUAAAUACUCUGUCGUUCUGCAAGUUCGAGAUGCUGGACAAAACUCUACACCGGUUUCUGGCAGUCACAAUGCAUUUUAACAUUGUCCCGGAAUAAAAUAUUGAGGAACUGAUCCUCAAAAAUAGAGGGUUGCUUGAAUUUCUUGGAUCAAGAGGCCUUCACAAACAUCAAGGUCCCUCAUCAUUGAAGGAAGUUGCCAAUCGCCUUGAGUAUUGUGU